UACGCGUCGCACGCCGCGCAAAGGACAUUCCGAAUCUGGGGAGAGAAUCCUCCCAAAGAUACGCGCUCAUCUGCGCUUUCUCUCUCUCUCUCUCUCUCUCUCUCUUUCUCUCUCUCUCUCUUUCUUUUUCUCUCUUUUUCUUUCUUUCUUUCUUUCUUUCUUUCUCUCUCUCUCUCUCUGUCUCCGUCUCUGUCUCUAUCUCUUUCUUACUCCUUGUCUCUCUUAUCUCUUACACUCUUCUCGGUCCAUCCAUCAAUCUUCAUCCCUCUUUACUAUAAUCGGACCAAAACUGGACUUGGCCGAGAGAGCUCGCGUUUUUUCUCUUCUGCGACAACUCGACGCCACUUCUUCGAGAGGAUGCGCGUCUUAUCGCCGGUGGAUCGACCCCUCGAAAACUCGUGCGUCUCAAUGUUUUAAGAAUAUAGACGAUUCGGGGAUUCACAUUGCACCUCGAUAUGAGAACGCGCUAAGAUGCCAUUACGAAUGGCUCGCGAAGAAUACGCCCUGGAAAUACGUGAAUCGGUCCGACGUCCGCGCCAUCCCCCGAGAUCUCAUUAAUAAGUUCGGCAAAUCGAAUUAACGGAGUCGGCGAAUCGUUACCCACUUUUGACCGAACGUUAACUUUGUCGCGGAUUAACUCGCCUUGCCAUUAUCUCUCGAGAGAAUAGAAACUUCGUUUCGUGCUCCUUUUUCUAGCUGGUUAAAAUAUAAGUUGUUGUCUACGGUGGGUGGGGCGGGGGAGGAGAGAACGCAUUCGACCGUCCGAAGGCGCGUCGCGUGUCACCGAACUCGAUCGAGAUAGACGCGAGAGUUCGCGUCUUUUUUCUUCUCGCGUUUGUUCGCAAUCGAUGAUUCGAUGAAAUAAAAGCGAGGUAAAAAAGAGGGGCGAGAAAAGUUCAAGGCAACGUUCACGGCUAUCCUCCGUCGCUGAUAAAGGGCGAGGCCUUUUCUCUUUUGCAUCUUUAUCUACACGUACACACACACACAUACAUAUAUGUGUGUGUAUAUAUAUACAAGUAUACGUAUAUACGCGUAUUAUAACAUCGUUAGAACUCGAAACGCUUUCUUUCGCAACGUGUAUUUCCAACGACGCGCGAUGCUACGACCACAAGCACGUUUUUGUUGAUUUUAGGGAAGAACGGUUGAUGCAUCGCGCAAAGUCGAAUCUUGAAAUGAAAGUUUAAUCGAGAUCGUCGCGGCUUCUCGUUCCCACGGCAACGCGUAGCUCUCUCGACGGACGGCACGAUGCCGAGAGCUUGAUAGAAAGCGACAGUAUCUGGAGGAGGACCGUCGGGAACGCGGCUCUGCGUUCGUCGUUGUCAGUGAAGCAGAGGCGUGGAUCAAACCUCAUCGAGAUCAAGAUCGUACAAAGACUGACAGAUUUGAAAUAUCUCGACGAGAUCGAAUUAAGAGAUAUCGAUCCUUCGAACGUUGAAAUUUCACGCUGUCCGAACUAUCGAAUUGGUCAUCGUACGAGCCAUCGAAUUAGCUCUGGCAUGAAAGACGAACCACUUGGAAAAAGAACACCGUGGAUGCAGCCUGGAAUAGGAGUAGGUCGUGGUGGAGGAGGAGGCGGAGGUAGAGGAGGAGGAGGAGGAGGAGGAGGAGGAGGAGGAGGAGGAGGAAGAGGAGGAACAACAGCAGCAGGAGUAGGAGGAGGAGGAGGCGCGGCCCACGUGGCCGGAACAGCCGACGAUGAGGCACCGAAAGAUCCAGGCGCUCGUAUCACCCAUCAAUCCUACACCGAAAAGGAUUAUGAAGGUCAUCGAGCACACACGGUCUACGUGGGCGUACAUUUACCCGGCGAGAGAAGACAUCGUCGGCACCAUAAACACCAUCAUUCUCAACGGCAAUCGUAUGGAGACACUAAAGAGGAUAUCGACAACGAAAGACCUAGACAAUUGGUGAUGACGCGCAGGGCUCGUCUCGCGAGCAUUUGCGACCCCGACGGCGAGAUGAUAUUCACGCCGCCGGCGCAGAGAGUGCAAUUUAUUCUUGGCGAGGAAGUCGGGGACGAUGCUCACGAAUCGCAUCCUCUCUUUUCCGAGAUGGAAGAACUCGUCAAGGAUGGAGAUGAAAUGGAAUGGAAAGAAACCGCGAGAUGGAUCAAGUUCGAGGAAGACGUGGAAGAAGGUGGAAACAGAUGGAGCAAACCGCACGUAGCUACGUUAUCGUUACAUUCGCUCUUCGAACUGAGAAGUUUGCUUUUGAAUGGCACCGUGAUGCUCGACAUGGAGGCCAAUAGUCUCGAACAGAUAGCCGAUCUCGUUCUAGAUAAUAUGAUCAACAAAGGUGCACUGUCGAACGAGUCUCGAGAAAAGGUAAGAGAAGCUCUUCUAGUGAGACAUCGACAUCAGCACGAGAGACGUAAGGACAACAACAUGUCGAGAUUACCGAUCAUAAGAUCCUUGGCAGAGAUUGGACGUAAUCAUUCGUCAUCGAAGAAGUACGGCUGUACAUGUGGUAUGCAUGCCUUGUUGACGUCAGAUUUGCAGGAGCGUCGCGACGUCGGAGACGCCUAUGCGCCCUCCGUCGGCCGCAGCAGCAGUUGUCCAAACUCGAAUACGGCCCUACUUUCGAAAGAGGCGAAAGAUCUGAAAGGGCCAUACCUUCUGGUACCAGGUCAAGAGCCAGGUGCCAACGGAAUCGAUCGAAGUCCGAGCAGCGUUUCGAUCAGCAGAAAUCACAGUUCUUCCGCUUUGGAAAACGGAGAUGCCAAUCAUAGGGGUAACACACAUUUCAUGAGAAAGAUACCGGCCGGUGCCGAAGCGAGCAACAUCCUCGUGGGCGAGGUCGAUUUUCUAGACAAAACCUUGUCCGCCUUCAUACGACUCAGUCAAGCAGGAAUAAUGGGCGAUCUCACGGAGGUACCGGUGCCAACGAGAUUUAUCUUCGUUCUUCUAGGACCUAUGGGUGGAAUUUCGGGUUUCCACGAAAUUGGACGUGCUAUGGCGACGCUGAUGUCCGACGAGGUCUUCCACGACGUCGCAUACAAGGCCAAAAAUAGGAACCACCUUCUGGCGGGUAUCGACGAAUUUCUAGACGCGGUGACCGUCUUGCCUCCGGGCGAGUGGGAUCCUACCAUCAGGAUAGAACCACCGGCUGCCAUACCGUCGCAAGACGUGAGGAAAAGGCCGAAGGAGGAAAAGCCGAAGGAAGAAGCCGACGAGGAGGCCGACGAACAGAAGCAGAGGGAGGAAUCCGGUUUAUCCAGAACGGGAAGACUUUUCGGAGGCUUGAUAAACGACGUGAAAAGAAAGGCGCCAUUUUACUUUUCCGAUUUCAAAGACGCGCUCGCUCUACAGUGCGUCGCAUCCUUCAUUUUCUUAUACUUUGCCUGUCUCUCGCCCAUCAUAACCUUUGGUGGCCUCUUGAGCGAGGCCACGGGAAAGAACAUGGCCGCGAUGGAAUCUUUGGUAUCCGGAUUCGUUUGCGGUCUCGGAUACGGAUUCUUCUCGGGACAACCGCUCACUAUUUUAGGAUCGACCGGGCCGGUCUUGGUCUUCGAGACGAUCGUCUAUGAAUUUUGCAAGCAAUCCGAUUGGAAUUACAUGUCUUUUCGCUUUUGGAUCGGUACGUGGACGACCGUCAUUCUGUUAACACUCGUAGCCCUUGACGCGAGCGCCUUCGUCUGCUACAUAACCCGAUUUACCGAAGAGAACUUUGCCACUCUCAUCGCUUUCAUUUUUAUUUACAAGGCUGUGGAAAACGUCCUCUCGAUCGGCAAAAAGUAUCCUAUAAAUACUCACGCCAACGAUCCCUUGGCUUACGAAUGCUGGUGCAAACCACCGAACGAUAGCUCGUCCUACGGCUCCGAGAACGUAAAUUGGACGACGCUGGAUCGGACAACGUGUCAGAAUUACAACGGCACGCUUAUAGGAGAGGGUUGUAACGUACCGCAAUACGUACCCGAUGUGUUCCUCAUGUCAAUUAUCCUUUUCAUGGGCACCUUCUUGUUAUCCGUCGAGAUGAAGGACUUUAAGAAUGCUCUUUUCUUUCCAUCGAAGGUCAGACAAGUGUUGAGCGAUUUUGCCGUUAUUAUCGCGAUCUUCUCGAUGUCCUUGUUGGAUCAUUUCGUGGGUAUCCCAACGCCAAAGUUAGAAGUACCUGAAGAAUUCAAGCCGACCCUGGAAGGCCGGGGAUGGAUGAUUUGGCCUUUUCAGAAUAAUCCAUGGUGGAGCGCCAUCGUGGCUAUUCUACCCGCUCUCUUGGGCACUAUACUGAUCUUUAUGGAUCAGCAGAUAACGGCGGUGAUCGUUAACAGGAAGGAAAACAAGUUAAAGAAAGGAUGCGGCUAUCAUCUGGACCUGUUUAUCCUGGCAAUCCUGAUAGAGGUCUGUUCGGUGAUGGGCUUACCGUGGUUCGUGGCGGCUACCGUGCUUUCCAUAAAUCACGUGAAUUCGUUGAAAUUGGAGUCGGAGUGCGCAGCGCCGGGCGAGAAGCCACAAUUCUUAGGCGUUCGAGAGCAGAGAGUUACGCACAUACUGAUCUUUCUCAUGAUCGGUUGCUCCGUUCUCCUGACGCCGAUGCUCAGGCACAUACCGAUGCCAGUACUAUUCGGUGUCUUCCUGUACAUGGGCGUGGCUUCUCUCAAAGGACUCCAGUUCUUCGAUAGAAUUCUCAUCAUGCUUAUGCCGGUCAAGUACCAACCCGACUACAUGUUCCUUCGACAGGUGCCGUUAAAACGCGUCCACGUAUUCACAGCGAUACAACUGACUUGUCUAGCUUGUCUAUGGAUCAUCAAGUCGUUUAGCACUACCUCCAUUCUAUUUCCAUUGAUGCUCGUAGUGAUGAUCGGCAUUCGCAAGUCCCUCGACUUGAUCUUCACUCAGCGAGAAUUGAAGAUUCUCGACGACGUGAUGCCGGAACCGAGCAAGAAGCACGCCGACGAUCUUCGCCAAUUGGAGAGCGGCGAGGAACAUCAGAAUUAUCCCAUCGGUUUUGGAGCACCGGAUAACAUUCAAAUAUCUUUGGCAAACGGAAAUAUUAUGAAGAUUCCAUUGGCGAGCAUCAAUAUCAGCGAGGAAGUCAAUAAGAGUGGGAUUUGGCAACAAGUUAAUGAGAGUAACGAGAAGCAGAAACAACCGAAAUUAAUGAACGUAAGCAAAUCAAAGAAGCAUCUCAAGAAGGAGGGCUCGUUGCUGGUCGACGAAACGACGAGGCUGACGACGAUGACGGAGGAAGACGAAGAUGACAAUGGCAUAUCGAUCAAGGUGACGAGCGUAAAUGACUCUAAAUUCUAACAAGCAUCAUCACCAAGACACACAGCAAGAGCACCAAUACACCGGCAUGCGACAUACCCCAUAUACCACUGCUGUAGAUCUUAUACGAUCGAAGGAGAGUAUCGGCCCAUUGAAAGUAAAUGGCACUACGUCGGCAGAGACAUCCGUUUAACAAGUACGAUAUCCUACGGGAUGUCGUCUCCAAUUCAAAAAGUAAAUUCGUAUCUGGUAAAAUUUCAGGGGAGGAAAAAAUAUAUGUAUACAUAUAUACAUAUACAUAUAUAUAUAUACAUAUAUAUAUAUAAUUAUUUUCAGGUGACUUUUUAUAUGAAACGACUAGAUUAGACGAAAAUCUUAAUUGCAUUAAAUACCGUUCCAGUAUAUAUGCAUAGUACGAUGGACCUCGCGAUCUUAACUUAAAAUGCCUUUAUUUAAACAAACAAUAAAACAAAAUCAAAAUGAUUUUACGAACGUCGAUCAUCAUACAAUCGUACGUUGUUAGAAGGUAUAUAGUUUCUUUUAUACGAGGCAUUACUUUCAGAGAAAUUUUUUCAUGCAACGUUGUCAUUUGUCAUUAACAAAAGCCAAGGAAUUUAAGAUCGUUUCGAUGAACAUUUAACAUUUUUGCGAUAGCAUUUAUUACGUGUUUCGAGUGUUUCAAAAGAUAGAAAGCGGAUAGUGGAUCGUUCGCAUUAUUCAUUGUAUACAAAUACAUGCAUACGAUAUAUACACAUAGUACAGACACACGUACAUACAUACAUACAUACAUACACAUAAUCCGUUGAGAAACCGACAAUACUUACGCUUCUUUUCGUAUUACACCACGAUAAGAUUGUAUCAAAGUUGGUAAAGAUUAGAUUGGUUGAAGAAUAUUAUACUGGAGUAAACUCCAAAAGAGUAAAACAAACUAUUAGAAAAUAACGAAAAAGCGACAGAUACUUGUUUUGAUCGUUAGUUAGUACGAAUAAGGUGUUUAGUCGAUAAAUCGAUCGAUGAUCCAACGUACCGAUUAACGUAUUAAGUAUUCACAUUUUAGAGGCUUAGCAAAUUUUACCAUUAAGAGGCUGGAUGUAUAUAGUAUAUAUGUACGAAUAAAAAAAAAAAAGAUAAAAAAACAAAAAAGAUGCAAAAGAAAAAAAAAUUUGAGAGAAAGUUGUAUAAAUACGACGUUUAAAAUGCGUUUUAAGGCGAACGCAAUUCCAUACAAUCGAUGUAUUCAUAUCUCUGUCGCAAUUAUUUAUAAAUUCUGUUCUGAGUAAUGAAAGACAAGAA